ACAGCCAUAUAGCAUUGAAACACUGGUUUCCAUAUGAUCUCCAAAGUUAAGCAACAUCGGGCCUGGUCAUCACCUAGAUGGGUGACCACUCAGGAAUACCAGGUGCUGUAAG